AGUUAAACUUCUAAAUGCAUUACUCAUUGACACUUCAUUGCAUGUGUCCUAAUUAUGAAGUUUCAGAUUUAAUUAUAUUUGGGGGGGGACUCUUGUCACAUUUGGGCAGGUCUUAUUUUUUUUAAUCUAGUCUGGCUUUUUCAAGAAAAUCAUGAUUUUGAAAUAGAAUUGAAUAGGACUAUUUGACUGGCUCAGUCACUAUGAUUGUACCAGCCUGACAGAUAUUCACAUACAUAUUGCCCAUUGCUAGUUUUCAUGCACAGAACAAAAGCUCUUCACAAUUUCAGAGGCACUAAGACAUUAACAAGUAAUUAUUUUCUGCCUUAGACUCCUGAUGGUGAUGAAUACUUGACCCUUCCUGUGUCCACACAACCACUGACUGCAAGUUCUUAUUGUCAUGACCAGUUAUUUGGAUAUUUAUUUGGGGCACUUACCUAUGUGCUGCUACUAGCACAUGGGUUUCCAGUCAAGGUUGGGAUAAGGAAGGAAGAGCAAAGUCUUUCUAAAUCUUGGUUGCUUUAGCAGUAUAGUCUGAUUAUGUCUGAUUGUGAUAACUGGCUCUAGGUUUUUUCACCAAUACAUAAAACAGAUAGACAAUGCAAACUGAAAUCAUCUGCAGUUUUAUAGAGUAGAUAGUAGGACAUUCCCUCCACUGCAAAAUUUUGCUAGGAGAAUAUCAGAUAGUGCCAAAGACAGGAGAACAAAGCCUUCCCUUUUGGGCUUAGGUCCAAAGAGGCAGUUUGAGCAUUUGAAAAAAAAAAAAAACAAGAAUGAUACAACAACAAGA